UGGGGCAGAGGGGCUGGAAAGCUGCCCAGUGGAAAAGGAUCUAGGGGUGUUGGUCAAGAGGGUUCUGAAUAUGAGCCAGCAGGGUGCCCAGGUGGCCAAGAGGGCCAGCGGCAUCCUGGCUUGUAUCAAGAAUGGUG